GAUGAAGAACGUAGUGAAAUGCGAUAAGUAAUGUGAAUUGCAGAAUUCAGUGAAUCAUCGAAUCUUUGAACGCACAUUGCGCCCGUCAGUAUUCUGGCGGGCAUGCCUGUUCGAGCGUCAUUUCAACCCUCAAGACCCCUUCGGGGGACUUGGUGUUGGGGACCGGCACAGGGGCCUGCCUGCUUGUCUUGCAGCGCCCUCGCCGCCCCCGAAAUGAAUUGGCGGCCUCGUCGCGGCCUCCCCUGCGUAGUAGCACAAACCUCGCAACGGGAACGUGACGGCGGCCACUGCCGUAAAACAACCCAAUUUUAUUAGAGUUGACCUCGAAUCAGGUAGGAAUACCCGCUGAACUUAAGCAUAUCAAUAAGCGGAGGA
rnacentral:misc_RNA from 1 species